CCUACGGGAGGCAGCAGUGAGGAAUAUUGGUCAAUGGACGCAAGUCUGAACCAGCCAUGCCGCGUGCAGGAAGACGGCUCUGUGAGUUGUAAACUGCUUUUGUACGAGGGUAAACGCAGGUACGCGUAUCUGUCUGAAAGUAUCGUACGAAUAAGGAUCGGCUAACUCCGUGCCAGCAGCCGCGGUAAUACGGAGGAUUCAAGCGUUAUCCGGAUUUAUUGGGUUUAAAGGGUGCGCAGGCGGUCGGAUAAGUUAGAGGUGAAAGCCCGGGGCUCAACCUCGGCAUUGCCUUUGAUACUGUUCGGCUAGAGAGUAGGUGCGGUAGGCGGAAUGUAUGGUGUAGCGGUGAAAUGCUUAGAGAUCGUACAGAACACCGAUUGCGAAGGCAGCAUGCCAGGCUACUUCUGACGUUGAGGCACGAAAGCGUGGGGAGCGAACAGGAUUAGAUACCCCGGUAGUC
rnacentral:rRNA from 1 species